rnacentral:tRNA from 1 species
GUCCAGGGAUGGGAAUCGAACCCACAGUGUUCUGCUUACCGGACAGAUGCCAUGUCCACUAGGCUACCCUGGA